rnacentral:lncRNA from 1 species
UCCGCCUGGACCAACACUUGGGCCUAAUUUCAUUUUGGGCCAAAAAGGCCCAAUUCUCGCCACCUGUCCUAAAUUCUAACAAUAUAAUAGCAAAUAAAUGGGCUUAGGCCCGAAAGUAACAAAAUACAAUUUGAAAUAAAGAGUGGGCCUUUGACCCAAUCUUUUCAACUUCUUGAUCUAUUGCUUCUUUCAACUUCGGGACCUAUACGUCGAUUUUCAAUGGCCGGUUGACUCGAUAAAGGAAUUUGAGCCUUCAUGGCUCUCUUGAAAUGCAAAGCUGGAGGCUGAGUCCAUGAGAACUCGAGGAGAGGUUCCGCAUGCAACACAAAUGAAUAGAAUAUGUAUAUAAGUAAUAAAUCAUUGAUUUAAAUAUGGAAAAAUAAUGAUAUAAAAUGCCUAUAACCCCAAUCAGGGGAAAAAGAAAUGUACUGGCUAAACAUUACUUGGAUCAAAAUGCAUGAAUAUGCUGGAGUACAUGUCAGGCCAUUAUUUUAACAAAAAAUAAGCAAAGCAUAAACAGAGAGGAUAUGACUGAAAUCUCUUUUACAUGGAUAAGAACUGACCAAGCACUACAAGAAAACAAACAAAACCGAUCAAGAUAAACCCACAUGCGAUCAAACCCAUCUUAUGCUAUAUCAAAAUUGACAUCAAUGAACAAAUAAUUUCAAGUAUAGUAAACCUCAAAAAUGAAAAAAUGAAAAAAGGGUGACAUCUUAAAAUACCCGAAACUGUAGAACGUAAGACCCAAUUACCGCAUUUCUUAAUAGUCCUAAAAUGACUAACCGGACUUCAAGCUAAUUGAAUAUGCCAUACAAGUAACUCUGACUGAUAACCAAGCUAAGGAAAAUAUGACACUAUGCUUGAAUCGAUACUAUUCUCGACAAUCCACGAAAGGAAGUAACCAAACAGAUCAAACACCUCAUUUUAUUUGAAGAACAAAUCAGCCUAUGAUACACUUAGUCGUGAAACAAGGAGAGGGGAAGGGAAAUUUGAACAAGAACAAACAAUGGAACCUCAUAUACGGAAGAACACCCAAUCUCGGAAGAACGAUAAAGCGAAAUAAGCUAAGUAGCAAGUGACACUCGAGUAAAUGAACUCGAGACGAAAGAUUAGCCUUAAAAUAAAUGCAAAGAAACAGUGAAGCCAAACAUAAGACAAACAACAGCAUCACAUAUAGAUUAGAGAUUUCAUUUGAGCGAAAUAGACCCUUUAAC